rnacentral:tRNA from 1 species
GUUGAGGUGGCCGAGUUGUUAAGGCGAUGGACUUGAAAUCCAAUGGGAUCUUCCCGCGCAGGUUCAAAUCCUGCUCGCAACG